rnacentral:rRNA from 1 species
GCCUGACUGCUAUCGGAUUGAUACUAAGCCAUGCUAGUCUUUGUAGUAAUACAAGGCAUACGGCUCAGUAACGCGUAGUCAACCUACCCUAUGGACGGGGAUAAUCUCGGGAAACUGAGCAUAAUACUCGAUAGAUCAUAAUGCCUGGAAUGGUUUAUGGUUAAAAUGAUUCGUCGCCAUAGGAUGGGACUGCGGCCUAUCAGCUUGUUGGUGAGGUAAUGGCCCACCAAGGCGAUUACAGGUACGGGCUCUGAGAGGAGAAGCCCGGAGAUGGGUACUGAGACAAGGACCCAGGCCCUAUGGGGCGCAGCAGGCGAGAAAACUUUGCAAUGUGCGAAAGCACGACAAGGUUAAUCCGAGUGAUUUCUGCUAAAGGAAUCUUUUGUUAGUUCUAAAAAUACUAGUGAAUAAGGGGUGGGCAAGUUCUGGUGUCAGCCGCCGCGGUAAAACCAGCACCUCAAGUGGUCAGGAUGAUUAUUGGGCCUAAAGCAUCCGUAGCCGGCUCUGUAAGUUUUCGGUUAAAUCUAUGCGCUCAACGUAUGGGCUGCCGAAAAUACUGUAGAGAUAGGGAGUGGGAGAGGUAGACGGUACUCGGUAGGAAGGGGUAAAAUCCUUUGAUCUAUCGAUGACCACCUGUGGCGAAGGCGGUCUACCAGAACACGUUCGACGGUAAGGGAUGAAAGCUGGGGGAGCAAACCGGAUUAGAUACCCGGGUAGUCCCAGCUGUAAACGAUGCAGACUCGAUGAUGCGUUGGCAUAUAGCCAGUGCAGUGUCGCAGGGAAGCCGUUAAGUCUGCCGCCUGGGAAGUACGUACGCAAGUAUGAAACUUAAAGGAAUUGGCGGGGGAGCACCACAAGGGGUGAAGCCUGCGGUUCAAUUGGAUUCAACGCCGGG